AUUGAACGCUGGCGGCACGCCUUACACAUGCAAGUCGAACGGUAACAGGUCUUCGGAUGCUGACGAGUGGCGAACGGGUGAGUAAUACAUCGGAACGUGCCUAGUAGUGGGGGAUAACUACUCGAAAGAGUGGCUAAUACCGCAUGAGAUCUACGGAUGAAAGCAGGGGAUCGCAAGACCUCGUGCUACUAGAGCGGCCGAUGGCCGAUUAGGUAGUUGGUGGGAUAAAAGCUUACCAAGCCGACGAUCGGUAGCUGGCCUGAGAGGACGAUCAGCCACACUGGGACUGAGACACGGCCCAGACUCCUACGGGAGGCAGCAGUGGGGAAUUUUGGACAAUGGGCGCAAGCCUGAUCCAGCAAUGCCGCGUGCAGGAUGAAGGCCUUCGGGUUGUAAACUGCUUUUGUACGGAACGAAAAGCCCUGGGUUAAUACCCUGGGGUCAUGACGGUACCGUAAGAAUAAGCACCGGCUAACUACGUGCCAGCCGCCGCCGUAA
rnacentral:rRNA from 1 species